rnacentral:rRNA from 3 species
AAAUGACUCUCGGCAACGGAUAUCUCGGCUCUUGCAUCGAUGAAGAACGUAGCAAAAUGCGAUACGUGGUGUGAAUUGCAGAAUUCCGUGAACCAUCGAGUUUUUGAACGCAAGUUGCGCCCAAUGUCAUUCGGCUGAGGGCACGUCUGCCUGGGCGUCACGC